GACGAACGCUGGCGGCGUGCUUAACACAUGCAAGUCGAACGGAAAGGCCCUGCUUUUGUGGGGUGCUCGAGUGGCGAACGGGUGAGUAACACGUGAGUAACCUGCCCUUGACUUUGGGAUAACUUCAGGAAACUGGGGCUAAUACCGGAUAGGAGCUCCUGCUGCAUGGUGGGGGUUGGAAAGUUUCGGCGGUUGGGGAUGGACUCGCGGCUUAUCAGCUUGUUGGUGGGGUAGUGGCUUACCAAGGCUUUGACGGGUAGCCGGCCUGAGAGGGUGACCGGCCACAUUGGGACUGCGAUACGGCCCAGACUCCUACGGGAGGCAGCAGUGGGGAAUAUUGCACAAUGGGCGGAAGCCUGAUGCAGCAACGCCGCGUGCGGGAUGACGGCCUUCGGGUUGUAAACCGAUUUCGACUGUGACGAAGCGUGAGUGACGGUAAUGGGUAAAGAAGCACCGGCUAACUACGUG
rnacentral:rRNA from 1 species